GACGAACGCUGGCGGCGUGCUUAACACAUGCAAGUCGAACGAAGAGCGAUGGAAGCUUGCUUCUAUCAAUCUUAGUGGCGAACGGGUGAGUAACGCGUAAUCAACCUGCCCUUCAGAGGGGGGCAACAGUUGGAAACGACUGCUAAUACCGCAUACGAUCUGACCUCGGCAUCGAGGAUAGAUGAAAGGUGGCCUCUAUUUAUAAGCUAUCACUGAAGGAGGGGAUUGCGUCUGAUUAGCUAGUUGGAGGGGUAACGGCCCACCAAGGCGAUGAUCAGUAGCCGGUCUGAGAGGAUGAACGGCCACAUUGGGACUGAGACACGGCCCAGACUCCUACGGGGAGGCAGCAGUGGGGAAUCUUCCGCAAUGGACGAAAGUCUGACGGAGCAACGCCGCGUGAGUGAUGACGGCCUCGGUUGUAAG
rnacentral:rRNA from 1 species